rnacentral:rRNA from 1 species
UACGAAGGGUGCAAGCGUUGCUCGGAAUUAUUGGGCGUAAAGCGCACGUAGGCGGCUUAGUAAGUUGGAUGUGAAAUCCCUCGGCUUAACCAAGGAAGUGCAUCCAAAACUACUGAGCUUGAGUACUAAAGAGGAUCGCGGAAUUCCCGGUGUAGAGGUGAAAUUCGUAGAUAUCGGGAGGAACACCAGUGGCGAAGGCGGCGAUCUGGGUAGAUACUGACGCUGAGGUGCGAAAGCGUGGGGAGCAAACAGG